UACGGAGGGAGCUAGCGUUGUUCGGAAUUACUGGGCGUAAAGCGUACGUAGGCGGUUACUCAAGUCAGAGGUGAAAGCCCGGGGCUCAACCCCGGAACUGCCUUUGAAACUAGGUAGCUAGAAUCUUGGAGAGGCGAGUGGAAUUCCGAGUGUAGAGGUGAAAUUCGUAGAUAUUCGCAAGAACACCAGUGGCGAAGGCGGCUCACUGGCCCGAUACUGACGCUGAGGUGCGAAAGCGUGGGGAGCAAACAGGG
rnacentral:rRNA from 1 species